AUGGCUCACAAUGAGAGUCUGCGUAUUCUUGAUGACGGCAUUGAAAAUCAAAAACUGACAGCCAAGUUGCCUGAUUGGUUAAGCAGCAGAUGGAACCGAAAAGCCACACAGUAUCAGCUAGAGCAUGGAAGGUUCCCAGAUUUCAAGUAUUUUGUAACUUUCCUGACAUUGGAGGCUAGUAUUGCUUGUAACCCUGUUACAUCUUACUAUGCUUUGCGGCAAGGGGAGCCGGAAAGGACAAGAUCUAAACCUCAGAAUGUAGUGACCUCUAAGAACCAAGCAGCAAGUGCAAGGAUUUUUACAACUAACACCACUGAGAAGAACAUAAGCACAUGUAUGUUUUGUAAGAAAACAGGGCAUGUCUUACACAAGUGCCGUAGACUAACUGCAAGGCCAGUUGCUGACCGAGUGAAGUUCAUUCAAGGUGAGAAACUGUGCUUCGGCUGUUUGAGUCCUGGCCAUCAAUCCAAGAAUUGCAGCAACCGGAUGGUCUGCGACACCUGCUCAAAGCGCCACCCCACAUGCUUACAUGAGGAUCGCUCAAAACAACAAGAAAAUGACAGGACAGGUUGCAGUAAGGAAAGAAAGCCACAAUCACCGCAAGACACUACUCAAGAAACCACAUCCAAUAGAGUUGUGCAUGAUGGUAACAGUGCUCAGACUUCAGCAAUAGUUCCUGUUUAUGCAUCAAUGCCAGGUGAUUCAAACAAAGAAGUCCUUGUCUAUGCUCUGUUAGAUUCACAAAGUGACUCUUCAUUCAUUCUUGAAGAAGAAGCGGAUGCUCUUGAUGUUAAUGCAGAGCCAGUCAAGUUGAAGCUGUCCACAAUGUCUUCCAAGGAGACAAUUGUACUAUGCAAAAGACUCAAAGGUCUGCAAAUAAGAGGGUUAUCUUCUUCUAAGAAGAUCACAGUGCCAACGGUCUACACUCGUGAAUUCAUACCUGCCAAUCGUACACACAUUCCAACGCCAGAGACUGCAAGGGCAUGGCCUCAUUUAGAGCAUCUUGCGGAACACAUUGCCCUGUCGAAGACAUGUGAAAUCGGUCUUCUGAUUGGGUAUAACUGUCCACAAGCACUAAUGCCUAGAGAAGUUGUAUGUGGUGAGGACAACCAGCCCUUCGCACAGAAAACUGACGUAGGCUGGAGCAUAGUCAGCUAUGGUGAUCCAAGCGAACACUACAGUGAUGCAAUUGGAUUAAGUCACCGCAUCAUUGUAAAGCAAGUGACCCCUGAACCCAAAGUAACAAGUAAGCUGAAAAGCGAAGUUCAUUAUGUUUGUAAAACAAGAAUUAAGGAGAUGACUACUCCAGAAGACGUACUUAAGGUGCUGGAAUCUGACUUCAGUGAAAGGCUUGGAGAAGAGGCAAAUCUCUCGCAAGAAGAUCUCCGGUUUUUGACUAAAAUGAAAGAAGACAUUAGGCACAAAGAAGACGGACAUCUUGAAAUGCCUCUGCCUUUUAAACAGAGCAGGCCAGAGCUACCAAAUAACAAGCCAUGUGCUGUUCAACGCCUCAUGUGCUUGGAAAGGAAGCUCAAGAGAGACCAGAAAUAUCGGACAGACUACAUGAACUUCAUGAAAGACAUUAUCAGUCGUGGCGAAGCAGAAAAGGUCCCAGAAGAAGAGCUUCAUAAACAAUCAGCUUGGUAUAUUCCCCAUCAUGGCGUAUACCACCCUCAAAAGCCAGAGAAACUGCGAGUGGUCUUUGAUUGCUCGGCAAGAUUUCAAGACAUGUCAUUGAAUGACCACCUUCUUACAGGGCCAGAGCUCACAAACACCUUGGUGGGAGUUCUUUGUAGAUUUCGAAAGGGCCCAGUCGCUAUUAUGUGUGAUGUGGAACGAAUGUUUCAUCAAUUCCAUGUAAAGCCUGAAGACCAAGACUACUUGAGGUUCUUAUGGUGGGAGAAUGGUGAUCUUGAGUCUCCGCCAUCAGUUUAUCGGAUGAAAGUCCAUUUGUUUGGAGCAGCUUCCUCACCUGGCUGUGCCAAUUUUGGACUUAAACAUCUAGCCACAGAAGGUCAGGAUCGAUUUAACCAAAGCACUGUCAAGUUCAUCCAAAGAAAUUUUUAUGUUGAUGAUGGACUGGUGAGUGUAAGGUCUGAUGCUGAGGCAAUCGAGCUGAUCAAGGAAGCGAGAGAGCUCUGCAGUGCAGGCAAGCUUAGACUACACAAGUUCAUUUCCAACAGCAAGAAGGUAUUGGAGUCAAUACCGAAGGAAGAGUGUGCUGACAGUGUCAAAGAGCUGGACAUAGAUUUAGGGGAGCCACUCCUAGAAAGAGCACUGGGCGUGCAAUGGUGUGUAUCCUCUGAUGACUUUCAGUUCAGAGUAACUGUCAAGAAACACCCAAUGACGAGAAGGGGAGUGCUAUCCACAGUAGCUUCCAUCUACGAUCCUUUGGGUUUCGUAGCACCAUUCGUUUUACGUGGGAAGUUGAUCUUGCAACAGUUGAGUCGAGACAAAGCUAGUUGGGAUGAACCACUUUCAGAGGAGUGCAGAUCACAGUGGCAGUCAUGGUAA
ensembl:lncRNA